UUUAUUCUAUGUUAAUUUACACUGGAAACAUUUUUUCUCUAAAUUCUUCCAUAGUCACCAGGCUGAGGUGUGGCUGUACACUCAUAGACAUCUUGAAGACAGGAUGAAAAAGUUUCACAGGGCAUGCAGAUCUCUGCAUGGGGGCCUACAAAGAAGAAUCAUAGCCUCACACUCAAAGCUCAUGCUCUAAAAACACAUAGGUAAAACUUCAUCAAUACUAUGAAUGAUUUAAAAAUACAAGAAGUGCAAAAAAUUUAAAAAAAUACGAGAAGUGCAAUAACAAGAUGGCUAAAACAAGUGUAUACUCAGGGAAAUAAUAAAUGGUUGAAGAAAAGUAAAGCUGGGAGUUUUCAGACAAGAGGAGCCACUGUCUGUAAAAAAAAAAUAAAUAAAAAUUGAGGCACACUUUUUUGAAGAAGGUAGGUCUUUACCUGGGCUUAGAGAAUAUUGGAGGUUUCUCCAGGUGUAGAGGAAGAGCCAUACCAUAUCCUAGUGAAGUACUUUACAUACAAACAGAGAGAUGGGGAUCUGUAGGUUGCAUAGAGGGCACUGUGAGUGAUUGCCUACAUGGAUUGAGUUAUUUUGUUUUUUUGCUUGUUUGUUUUCUUUAAGAGAUGUCUCAGGACUUACCUUGGCAGUGCAAUCACCAAUGCAGACAAGGGAGGAGAAAUUACUGGAUCGGAGAGAGAUUAGAGAGUAAAGUCUAGUGAAUGAUAAGGUCAAUUAUAGUUUGAAUUCAAAGAAACCAAACAAAAAUUAAUAGGAAAAAAAACUACAUCAUGUGCUCCAUGACCUCCUAGAAUGGGUUGCAUUGAAAAGGUCUUUGCAGGGCAGAAAAUGGAAGCUGCAGGAUGUAGACUUCUUCUGGCAUUAGUGAAGGGGUCCUCUCCCUUGAGCUCCCAUCCCAAGAAGCCUCUCAACCCCAUGAGACCUGCUCAACUUCACCUCACUUCAGCGCUUACUCUUCAGAAUUUCUCAAGCAAGAAGGGAAGAAAAUUCUACAUUCAAUGGAUAUGGGUAUGACAAUGCAGCAUCAGCCAUGGGAACAUCAAUUGCCUUGGGAACUGAUGCGGGAUAAAGCUGUAAUUUCAGUAUAUUAAG